AUGUUUCUCUUCACCUGCAUUAUAAUACAGCUUUACAUGGGAAAUCUAUUUGGUGAUACAAUCAAACCACUGUUUCCAGACAAACAUAGUUCUGAGGGUGAAAAUGUGACUUUCUCCUGUAACUACACUCUUACUAGUGGCACCAGUGUUAAUCUCCAGUGGUAUCGCCAGUAUCCCGGAGCAAAACCAGAGUAUUUACUUUCUGUCACUGAAUAUUCAAACAGCUCUGAGUCUGAUCUUCGUCUGUUUUCAAACGCUGUCAAAGCACUGAAGCGUGUGGAUCUGCUACUCUCUUUUGCUGCAGUAUCAGACUCUGCUGUGUAUUACUGUGCUCUGAGGCCCACAGUGACUCAAACCCAAUAA